GGGCGCUUAACUCAGUGGUAGAGUGCUCGCUUCGCAAGGUGGAUGUCAGCGAAUAUUACUGAAUGAUGCGAGAAGUCGUGGGUUCAAAUCCCACAGUGUCCA